UUGACCUCGGAUCAGGUAGGAAUACCCGCUGAACUUAAGCAUAUCAAUAAGCCGGAGGA
rnacentral:rRNA from 10 species